rnacentral:tRNA from 1 species
ACUAUUUUGGCAGAUAAAAUGUGUUGAUUUUAGAAGUCAUAGAUAUAUAAAUUUAAAUUAUAUAGAUAGUA